CCAAUAGCGUAUAUUAAAGUUGUUGCCGUUAAAAAGCUCGUAGUUGAAUUUUGGAUUCUUCCAAUUGGUCCAUCUUUUAGAUGAGUACUGGUUGUGUGGGGUCUAUCCGCCUGGUGAUACGUAAUGUCCUUUAUUGGAUGUUGCGGGUAGUCAGGACCUUUACCUUGAAAAAAUUAGAGUGUUUAAAGCAGGCUUAUGCCGGAAUACAUUAGCAUGGAAUAAUAGAAUAGGACGAAGUUGUUUUAUUUUGUUGGUUUCUAGGACAACCGUAAUGAUUAAUAGGGAUAGUUGGGGGCAUUAGUAUUCAAUUGUCAGAGGUGAAAUUCUUGGAUUUAUUGAAGACUAACUACUGCGAAAGCAUUUGCCAAGGAUGUUUUCAUUAAUCAAGAACGAAAGUUAGGGGAUCGAAGACGAUCAGAUACCGUCGUAGUCUUAACCAUAAACUAUGCCGACUAGGGAUCGGGCGAUGUUGUUUCCAUGACUCGCUCGGCACCUUAUG
rnacentral:rRNA from 1 species